UGGACAUACCGCAAUAGAUUCACUCAUUCUCAAAUGACUAACAAUUCCAGAAAUUGCUGGGCAGAAAAAGUCAUCGGCAAUGGAUGACAUUAUCACAAAAAGUAUAAUCAGAUAGAGAAUACCGAGAAUUAUUAGGAUGACCUGAAAUA
ensembl:ncRNA C13D9.13 ncRNA